UCGUUGGAGCGGCGCCAUUUUGUGCGCAGCGGGGCCACAUUGCCCUCGCCUAUAAAAGGCUGCGGUGACGUCAGCGCCCGACAUUUAAAAUCUCAUCGUGGUGCGCAGUGGUCGUGAAAGUGUUGUGACAAGAUCUUCAAGUGAAUUUGCCUGGGUUGGAUUCAGUCCCAUUGCGUUUCGCGUGGGUCUGCAUCCAUCCGAUGGCCGCCAUCUUGGCCGUCGCUGGGGCGCGGUCGCUGCUUACACAACAAUGGGUUUGUAACGGUAUCGUGCAUUUAUUUUAGUUUAGUUAAUUUUGUGAUCCAAAUGUAAAAAGUUAAAUAUUUCAAUUUCAAUCUAUUUCUCGAUAGUAAAAUUGGAAUUUGGUUAUUAUUCAUAUUGAAUAAGAUAAAUUGUAACAUAUGUUUAAGUAUGAAAAAUAAAAAGAUUAUUUUCAAUGGAAAGUUGUAUUUCUCCUAUUUUGUUACUGUGAUUUCACCCGAAAUGUGUUAUUCCAUGAGUCAUCAUCGUCACUUCGCUUCGUGGAGAAAGUGGCGAGUGCGAACGAGAUCGAGCUCCAGACUCGGCCGAGCAGCCUGCGGUCUGCCGCCGAGCCGUCGCCGCCGCGGCGUUAAGGUUCCCUGCGUUCAGCCCACGGCUCCACUGUGCCAAACGGCGCACGCUCAAAUACGUCCCGGUUAUCAGCCCACUAGGUAAACGUUAGGCCUCCGAAUUCCUCAUACGACUGGUGUAAUAAUAUCUUAUAUUCCAUAACAAUGUCUGCCCGUGCCCGCAUGCGGGCCCCCUGCGUGUAACGUUGUGUUUAGACCCCAGAGCGUUGCGGUUACCGUGCAGCUGCAGACCUAGUCGUGGCGGGUUGUCGCAAUCGCAUUGUUCAUCGUGCGCACGGCCUCGACGCGUCACGGUCACGUGAUGGCGCUACCCGGAACACUGAACACUAGAAUUAUCUUCCCGUAAGGAAGUACCUAUGUUGACAAUGUCGGUGAGUCACUUGUUACUGAGAUUGGUCUUAUUUUGAAAUAUAAAAACAGACAUUUUGGUAUUUUAUUGAUGAUCAUAAUAAUGAACAUUAUCGUGAGUGACAUUUUCUCUUAAUAUUACCAAAAAUAAAGCAACUUUCCUUGCAAUUUGGACAAGUCACUGCUAUUGCUAAGAAAAUUUUCCAAUGUUGACAUAAAAACAUGCCUGAUUACUGUACUGAAUCAGUGAGUCAUCUCACUUAGGUCAUGUCUAUGAAAUAACUUUUCUCCAAACAGGGUAUAAUGACAUAAUUUAGGAACAUACUAGAACGAUCGGGAGGCCUUCUCGAGGUGACUUGAAGGAGUUUUCGGAGACUGCUACCGAGACCAUGAAGUAUCCUAUCCGUGACCUAGCAAAUCUUCGCGGCGCUUUCUAUAUUAGGUAACCAGAGGUCACGUUAUUUGUGUGGAUGCAUGCAUAAACAUCUUAACAGCAGCUAUAUCUACACUUCGAGUGAGCAGUCUCCAGUUUAGUAUAUGAAAAUUACACAUGCACUGAGUUGGAAAUAUUAAAUUGAGGAAACGUGGCGUGGGCUGAUCAUUUCCGGGACCAUUCUGAACCAAAAUCGCGACAUAGGCUACACACUGAUAAACGAUUGCAUACAAAUUAAGAAUAGGAAUAUGAAGCAAGGACUUGUUAGAAUGCGCUAUACACCGGGACCGUGGCUGGUGGUCAAGGUUGUGCGUGACCGAGUCAACCAACCAAACGUAAACAAAGCGAGGUGAAGCCCUUCUCCGCGAAGGCUAGCCCGGCCCCUAUAACAAGUGGACCGUCGGCCUCCACAGAUAAGUCAAUGCCGGUCCUAAUCUCUCUCUCUCUACCCCAAAUCACUGUUAGAUAAUGAACCUACCAAGGGCUGAAGUGCGUGACCAAGUAAGACAGAUAUGCUUCGGUAUCAUUCUAAAAUUGAUAAUGACAGCAUGAUGUAAACUUCUAAUGCUAAGGUGAGUUUAGGCAACGGUUUUUUACUACCUAUACAAGAAAAAAUGAAAUGAUGGUUGAUGGUUACCUCUACCUAAGUAUACAAAAUGAUUAAUGGACGUAUCGUUAGUAGGUAGGUACGUCACUUAACCAUACAUUUCAUUUUUUCAGAUCCUGUAAAGUUGCAUACUAUGCUAAUAUCUCUAUUCGAGGAACUAUAAAAUACAGUACCUACAGAUUUUUCAUAUAAUACAAAUUAUAAUAAUGGACACAUAACUUAGCGCCUAUCUAAUUUAGCUAUGAAACAGGAAACGAAUGUAUUGCAACAUAAUUAUUAGAUGUUGAAAAGUAUAUAAGAAAUGUCGUGUGACUGAAUCUAAUAACCAUAUAUAAUAAAAUAAAACCUUAAUACGGGAGCGAAAUAUGAAACGAGACUUCGAAACUGGGCAUUGGACUAGUAAUCCCUUCCCUUUACCAUUGUGUGUGUUUUUUUACAUCUGCAGGUAUGAGUCCGACCGGGUAGGGUUCUUACCAAAUAACUACACUAGACUGAGGAUGCAAAUAAAACUACUGCAAACUACAACUACUAAAUUAGUUGGAAAAUCUAGAAGAUUGGAGGAGCCGUGGGAAUAAAAAUAUGAAAGACUUGUUUACUCUAUAUCCUUAUGGAUUACUAUUGACCUGAAAAGCGGUAACAUGCUCUUGGCCACUAACCCCCUAAUUUUUUUGUUUCGAUGUCUUGUUUUGUUUUAGGCAGGCAACUAAUUUACCCACCCACUGACAACGACAAGUACGAGACAAAAUGACACUUGAAACCAAUGCUAAGAGGAAACUGUACCAAAGCAACCAAAUUUGCAAGCCAGUUUUAUUUUUGAAUGAAAUAGUUUCGUUUGAUUUCAAUCGAGGUGAAAUGGUCAUGAAAUUGCAUACCUGUUUUGUUUUUUUUUUCUGUUGAAAGGUAUCUAAUGGCAACUACGAGCUUGUAAUGGAUAAGAUCCAACGCCCACGUAGUGAACUGACAACCAUUGAGCCUUCCUGUAUGCUGAAUAAAUAAGCCAGGGCUAAAACAUCUUUCAAACUGCCAGCAAGAGGUCUAUAUGAGACAUUUAAUAAAACUGGAAAAUAAGGGUUACGUCCCAAUUCGCAAUAGAAAUGUUUUGCUGAGGCUGUUCGACUUCAAAAUGUGUAAUUAUUUGGAGGAGCAGCUGUUAAUGGAUUCAAUUGUUAUAUCCAGCCAUAAUUAUGAUAUUUUAUAACUGGCAAGUAAACUGAGGAAUGUCUAAAGAAUAUGAAUGUUAGUUGAGGUUUCGCCCCUCUGAAUGUGCCGGAGAAAGUAGCACGGACAAACGGUAUGACCUCUAUUUUACCUAUCUUUUAUUGUAACGCUAAUAAGAACUACGAGCACCUGAGGGCUGCAAUAGUAUGUAUGUAUGUGCAAGAUAAUAUUUUGCUAUGUCCUUUCCCCGAGUUUGUUUAGCUUAGAUGCUGAAGCAUCCACGCCACCAAGCUGCCACGGAAGUGGCAGUCUAUUUACACCGAAGAUGAAUAUAAUUCCUCGUUCCAAGCCGGAGAAAAUAUUCUUGACUAGCGGCUUUCUUCACUCAUCCCCCUUCACCAUGAUCAUCUAUCACUUGCACCACUGCAAAAAUGCGGACUGUAUGAAUGACGGCUACAAAUAUUUUACUGCACGACGUUUUUUCAAUCAACGGGUGGUCGUCAGCUUGAACUGAACCAUUCAGGUAAAAUAAUUUUAUUGACCGUUACAAUUAAAACUAGUAUCAACGUAGCUAUGUUGUAGUUGUAGUUAAUUACCUAUAUCUAAAAUAUAACAUUUCUGAAUAAAUAUCUAAGCCUGCAGGAACAGUAUAAGUACAUAACUAUGAAACUUUUUAUAUCAGUCAUGCUAUUAAAUAUUAAUAAAAACACAUGUAUCUAUUGCGAUUAAGUAGGUAGGAAUAUAACCCUGGCGCGUAGCCAGGCCGUUAGGAAUUUACUUUUUAGAGCUCAACGGGUAUGCUUAGCUACUGCUGCCAUUAUCCGCUGCUUGUACGAGAGAUAGCUGCAAUGAGACUUCACUGCGUGUACGAGUGCUGCAAUGAGACUUCACUGCGUGUACGAGUGCUGCAAUGAUGCUCCGCUGCUGACUGCUGCUACAUCUACGACGAUCCCAUUCCUGGCCUCUGCUUUCGAAUCAAGCCACUCUAUACGUGGCGCUGUCAAACCUAAGUAUAUUGAAGUGGUUCACUAGACUUGUCUAUCCAGGUUCCUUUUCCCUGUAACCCUAUGAUAUACAUGAGCGCUGCUGUCAUGCGACAGCUUUUUAUUUUUAACCAGUGCCUUGUCACAGAAUGCCUAAAACUACUGCUGCUGCCAGUUUCUACGUUUGACUACUGCUGCCAUGUCACAGAGUCCAUCAUCAAGAUCGCUGCUGCUGCCGGGCACGGCAUCUAAAAACUUUUGCUGCCUUGUCACAGACCGCUGCUGCCCUGCACAGGGUCUAUAGACUACUACUGCCUUGUCACAUAGUCGCCUCGCUCAUCAAGACGGCUGCUGUCUUGCACAGUGUCUACGUUUGACUACUACUAUCGCUGCUGCCCCGCACAGCGCCAUUAACUAUUGCCUUUGACUGCUGCUGCUUUGUCACAGAGUCCAUUAUCAUGAUCGCUGCUGCCCUGCACAGGAUCUAUAGACUACUGCUGCCUUGUCACAGAGUCGCCUUUCCAGACCGCUGCUGCCUUGCACGGGGUCAUAAAGACUACUGCUGCCGUGUCACAGAGUCCCCCUUCGAGACCGCUGCUGCCCUGCACAGGGUCUAAAAUACUACUGCUGCCUUGUCACUGAGUUACUCUUCAAGACCGCUGCUGCCCUGCACAGGGUCAUAAAGACUACUGCUGCCUCGUCACAGAGUCGCCCUUCAAGACCGCUGCUGCCCUGCACAGGGUCUAAAAGACUACUGCUGCCUCGUCACAGAGUCGCCCUUCAAGACCGCUGCUGCCUUGCACAGGGUCUAAAAGACUACUGCUGCCUCGUCACAGAGUCGCCUUUCAAGACCACUGCUGCCCUGCACAGGGUCAUAAAGACUACUGCUGCCUCGUCACAGAGUCGCCCUUCAAGAUCGCUGCUGCCUUGCACAGCGUCUGACCACUGCUGUCUACCACAUUGUCUUUUACCGCUGCUGCCACGGCACAGUCGGUUUGUUUUUUUAUUUCUGCUGCUUUGUCACAGAACCGACAAUUGCUGCUGCUGCUUUGUCUACGUGUAUAUUGACCGCCGAGUGUCCACCGUCCACAGGAGUGACCGCUGUUAAGUAACAUGUCGCGGUGAGACGUAUGACAAGUCUUAUAAUUUAUUUGCUGAGAACAAAUAGCACCAUGCCAGAGCUUAUAUGAUAAAGACAAUGGUUUAAACUGAAUGCUGCGGAUAAACCACAGCACGCCUAGGUGUUAACGCUGCUACGUGCAGCAUUGUCCAUAGACUACCUCUUAUCACCAAUUCAACCUGGUAGCCUGGAAGAAUCCUCGAGCCAGCCAUGCAAAUUUUCCUCUACGGAAUGGAACGCAAUGGACAACGCUUCGCAGAAAGUCACCAGGCCAGCAACCUUCGAGAUACACCUUUCCCGUAUUAGAAUGAUGCCAAACUCGAGCCAAGAUUGCUGAGCUACUUCUUGGGCGCAAGUCAUCCUGCUUCAGUGCCUACGUGGUGCUUUUCGGUCCAGUCUGCCCGCAGCGCGGUGCCAGCCCGGUCCAGUCUGCCCGCAGCGCGGUGCCAGCCCGGCCCAGUCUGCCUCCAGCGACACCAGUCUGCGCGCCAGUGGUGCCAGCCCGGCCCAGUCUGCGCGCCAGUGGUGCCAGCCCGGUCCAGUCUGCGCGCCAGUGGUGCCAGCACGGCCCAGUCUGCGCGCCAGUGAUGCCAGCCCGGUCCAGUCUGCGCGCCAGUGGUGCCAGCCCGGUCUAGUCUGCGCGCCAGUGGUGCCAGCCCGGUCCAGUCUGCGCGCCAGUGGUGCCAGCCCGUUCCAGCCUGCGCGCCAGUGGUGUCAGCCCGUUCCAGUCUGCGCGCCAGUGGUGCCAGCCCGGCCCAGUCUGCGCGCCAGUGAUGCCAGCCCGGUCCAGUCUGCGCGCCAGUGGUGCCAGCCCGGUCUAGUCUGCGCGCCAGUGGUGCCAGCCCGGUCCAGUCUGCGCGCCAGUGGUGCCAGCCCGGUCCAGUCUGCGCGCCAGUGGUGCCAGCCCGGUCCAGUCUGAGCGCCAGUGGUGCCAGCCCGAUCCAGUCUGCGCGCCAGUGGUGCCAGGGUACGAAUAAUCUUACAUUUAUUUUUAUUUGUUGGUGAUAUAAAUGCCUACGAGACGCACUGAGAGCAGGCAUCAAAGCAAUGGUAAAUAUUUUGAAAAUAGCCAAAAUGUUUUAAUAACUUUGCAGUCUGCAACAACGUUGUGAAGUCUGCCUGCCUACCUAUGCUGAAGAGGUUCGAGUCUGAAUCAGCCGAAGACACCAGUGUUCCGGUCAGCGUGAUGCCAGUCCGGUCCAGUCUGCAGGCUAAUGGUGUCAGCCAGCUCAUUCCAGUCUGCGCUCCUAUAGUGCCAGCCCGGUCCAGUCUGCGCUCCUAUGGUGCCAGCCAGUUCCCGUCUCCGCGCCAGGGACGCCAGCCCGGUCC